rnacentral:snoRNA from 1 species
ACCCUCUCAGGGCCACACCUGGAGAGUUUCCAGUAUUCUACCAGUCUUGACUAUGGGAGGGAGAGUCACGCAGAGGCAUACCCAUUCCAUUACUAGCUUGGCCAGUGGCUAGCGAGUGGAAAGCAAUCUGCUACAAAU